UACUGGCUCCCGCCCUCCUGGCUCUGCCACAGGGAGCAAUUCCAGCUCCCGAGUCUGGAGGGAUGUCUUUGUGAAAUCUCUUAGCUCUUUAGACAUCAGGUCAGACACGAAGCUCUGCUUAGAACACUAUGCUGGUCUUGAUCGAGAGGCACACACGACUGGAGAAGUGGCUGGCUUUGCAUUUCUGCUUAUGACUUCCGUUCGUUACUGACACCCCACAUUGGCAGUGCGCGCCCGGCGAGCCGUGGCAGGCACCCGAGCCUGGGUUCACGAACGCAGAGAGGAGCCGCAGGGACGGGACAGAGUGGAGAAAUGGGAAAGGGGGGUUUGUCGGGAUGUCAACUGUUGACAUCUAAUUAAAACAACUUUCUAAACAUAAGUAAAGAUACUUAUAGUUACUG